GUAGGUGAACCUGCGGAAGGAUCAUUACAAAUCGAGGGGUGUGGGGGAGGGUUUGGAGGGAGUGAGGAUUGGCGAGCAGAUUGUCUUGACGAUCGGUUACCAUCUUCCCAUCUCUCCAAACAACCCCCACUACCACAUGUUUACGCUUGAUUGUUUGACAGAGUAAAAUGUACGGAUAAUAUUGACAACUUUUAACAAUGGAUCUCUUGGCUCUGGCAUCGAUGAAGAACGCAGCAUCUGACUGACUGGA
rnacentral:misc_RNA from 1 species